rnacentral:tRNA from 1 species
GCUCGUAUGGCGCAAUUGGCUAGCGCGUCCGACUGUUAAUCGGGAGGUUACUGGUUCGAUCCCAGUUAUGAGCG